rnacentral:rRNA from 2 species
AGAGUUUGAUCCUGGCUCAGGACGAACGCUGGCGGCGUGCCUAACACAUGCAAGUCGAGCGAUGAAAGAGAAGUGGCGGUCUUCGGACCAAAACAUUUCUGGAUUAGCGGCGGACGGGUGAGUAACACGUGAGCAACCUGCCUAUCACAUCGGGAUAGCCUCGGGAAACUGGGAUUAAUACCGAAUGAAACAUAUUGGUAACCUUAUCGAAAUGUCAAAGAUUUAUCGGUGAUAGAUGGGCUCGCGUCUGAUUAGCUAGUUGGUGAGAUAAAAGCCCACCAAGGCAAUGAUCAGUAGCCGGCCUGAGAGGGUGAUCGGCCACAUUGGGACUGAGACACGGCCCAAACUCCUACGGGAGGCAGCAGUGGGGAAUAUUGCACAAUGGAGGGAACUCUGAUGCAGCGACGCCGCGUGAGCGAAGAAGGAAUUCGUUUCGUAAAGCUCUGUCCUAUGGGAAGAUAAUGACGGUACCAUAGAAGAAAGCCCCGGCUAACUACGUGCCAGCAGCCGCGGUAAUACGUAGGGGGCGAGCGUUGUCCGGAAUUAUUGGGCGUAAAGGGUUCGUAGGCGGUAAUACAUGUCAGAUGUGAAAUCUUGUGGCUUAACCACAUCAAGCAUCUGAAACUGUAUAACUUGAGUGGAGGAGAGGUAAGUGGAAUUCCUAGUGUAGCGGUGAAAUGCGUAGAUAUUAGGAAGAAUACCAGUAGCGAAGGCGACUUACUGGCCUCUAACUGACGCUGAUGAACGAAAGCGUGGGUAGCAAACAGGAUUAGAUACCCUGGUAGUCCACGCCGUAWACGAUGAGUGCUAGGUGUCGGGAGUCAAAUCUCGGUGCCGUAGUUAACGCAAUAAGCACUCCGCCUGGGGAGUACGUGCGCAAGUAUGAAACUCAAAGGAAUUGACGGGGACCCGCACAAGCAGCGGAGCAUGUGGUUUAAUUCGAAGCAACGCGAAGAACCUUACCAGGACUUGACAUACUAGUGCCAAAUGUAGAGAUACAUUAUUUCUUCGGAACACUAAUACGGGUGGUGCAUGGUUGUCGUCAGCUCGUGUCGUGAGAUGUUGGGUUAAGUCCCGCAACGAGCGCAACUCCUAUGUUUAUUUGCCAGCAUUUUGGAUGGGAAUUAUAGACAGACUGCCGAUAAGAAAUCGGAGGAAGGUGGGGAUGACGUCAAAUCAUCAUGCCCUAUAUGUCCUGGGCUACACACGUGCUACAAUGGUCGUUACAGAGAGCAGCUACACAGCGAUGUCACGCGAAUCUCAAAAAGGCGAUCUCAGUUCGGAUUGUACUCUGCAACUCGAGUACAUGAAGUCGGAGUUGCUAGUAAUCGCAAAUCAGAAUGUUGCGGUGAAUGCGUUCCCGGGUCUUGUACACACCGCCCGUCACACCAUGGAAGUUCGAGGGGCCCAAAGUCAGCGAUCUAACCGCAAGGAGGAAGCUGCCCAAGGCAAAUUGAAUGACUAGGGUGAAGUCGUAACAAGGUAGCCGUA